UGUGUGUUAGUGGAAGCGUCUGGAAAGGCGCGCGAUACAGGGUGACAGCCCCGUACACAAAAAUGCACAUGCUGUGAGCUCGAUGAGUAGGGCGGGACACGUGGUAUCCUGUCUGAAUAUGGGGGGACCAUCCUCCAAGGCUAAAUACUCCUGACUGACCGAUAGUGAACCAGUACCGUGAGGGAAAGGCGAAAAGAACCCCGGCGAGGGGAGUGAAAAAGAACCUGAAACCGUGUACGUACAAGCAGUGGGAGCACGCUUCGGCGUGUGACUGCGUACCUUUUGUAUAAUGGGUCAGCGACUUAUAUUCUGUAGCAAGGUUAACCGAAUAGGGGAGCCGAAGGGAAACCGAGUCUUAACUGGGCGUUAAGUUGCAGGGUAUAGACCCGAAACCCGGUGAUCUAGCCAUGGGCAGGUUGAAGGUUGGGUAACACUAACUGGAGGACCGAACCGACUAAUGUUGAAAAAUUAGCGGAUGACUUGUGGCUGGGGGUGAAAGGCCAAUCAAACCGGGAGAUAGCUGGUUCUCCCCGAAAGCUAUUUAGGUAGCGCCUCGUGAAUUCAUCUCCGGGGGUAGAGCACUGUUUCGGCAAGGGGGUCAUCCCGACUUACCAACCCGAUGCAAACUGCGAAUACCGGAGAAUGUUAUCACGGGAGACACACGGCGGGUGCUAACGUCCGUCGUGAAGAGGGAAACAACCCAGACCGCCAGCUAAGGUCCCAAAGUCAUGGUUAAGUGGGAAACGAUGUGGGAAGGCCCAGACAGCCAGGAUGUUGGCUUAGAAGCAGCCAUCAUUUAAAGAAAGCGUAAUAGCUCACUGGUCGAGUCGGCCUGCGCG
rnacentral:rRNA from 1 species